rnacentral:lncRNA from 1 species
ACUGCUGCCAAAUGUAGACUUAUCCCCUCACCAGUUCCAGACCCUGCUAUGACUUUAUUCCUGAGGACCUGCACAAACCUACACAAGCCAGACCCCCAGCCUAAGUCAGUGUUGACUUAGUUCAUCCCCACAGAUCCUUCCAGCUGGAAAUACAGCUUGUGGGCCCACAGAGGAUCCAUCCAGCAUGAUUCACCCAGCCUCUGCCUCAGGUCUGCAGCAGCCACCAGCCCAAAUCCUCCCUCUAUCUCCAGCUCUACCCUACCCCAGGAACUCCUGUCAUUCCCAACCCUUGAGCAAGCCAGAUUCUUGUCCUCCUUCCCCAUGAAACCUCUGGCAGGCUCUCCAGGGGUGAGCAGCAGCAGCAGCAGCAGCAACAAACACCAGAACACCGGUAUCAACCUGGCUCCAUCUCCUCUUAGCAGUAAAUAUGGGAAUAAGACAAAGUCCAGGACAAAAAGGAAUCCCUCUGGAAGAACUGAGAAUUCCCAGUGUGCCACUAGCAGAAGCACGUACUGAAAAUUAUCAACUUUGAGAUAAAUUAAAAAAGAGAUACCAGGAGCCAUAGCAUCAAUGGGUAGGAAAUAGUGAAGAGCAAGAAAGAAAGAGAAGAAAGAAAAGCACAAGACUUCUCCCUGCAAAGUGUCGUUAACAAUCCCUUUGCUGUGAGCACGAGGAUCCUGAAGCCAAGACUGUGGCCACAUCAUGGUGACAAUCUGAGUAGCAGCAUUUGCAAUUUUUUCUGUACAUCUAGAUAAGAAAUGCUAAAGAAAAACAUAGGUGUUAAGAGAUUUACCUGGGAAAUUUGCAGCAAUGUUGAUUUCAAACCUGGUUUGCUGCUCUGGAAAUCUGG